GAUAAACGCUGGCGGCGCACAUAAGACAUGCAAGUCGAACGGAAAUCGUUACUAAAUUUUGAGGAAAUGGACUUAAGUUUACUUUAGGAAAUGGAAUUAGAGCUUAGUAACAUAUGAUUUUAGUGGCGGACUGGUGAGUAACACGUAAGCAACCUGCCUAUGAGAGGGGAAUAACAGUGAGAAAUCAUUGCUAAUACCGCAUACCUUGGACUAAUCGCCUGGUUGGUUUAAGAAAGGAGUAAUCCGCUCGUAGAUGGGCUUGCGUCUGAUUAGCUAGUUGGUAAGGUAAAGGCUUACCAAGGCGACGAUCAGUAGCCGGACUGAGAGGUUGAACGGCCACAUUGGGACUGAGAUACGGCCCAGACUCCUACGGGAGGCAGCAGUCGGGAAUAUUGCGCAAUGGAGGGAACUCUGACGCAGUGACGCCGCGUAUGGGAAGAAGGUUUUCGGAUUGUAAACCAUUUUAGUCAGGGAAGAAAAAGACGGUACCUGAAGAAUAAGCUCCGGCUAACUACGUGCCAGCAGCCGCCGUAAAAC
rnacentral:rRNA from 1 species